AACGCACAUUGCGCCCGCCAGUACUCUGGCGGGCAUGCCUGUCCGAGCGUCAUUUCAACCCUCGAGCCCGUCUCGGUGUUGGGGGCCCCACGGCCGCGAGGCCGCCCCCGAAAUGCAUUGGCGACCCCGCCGCGGCCUCCCCUGCGCAGUAGCUCCCAGAGAACCUCGCACCGGAAACGCGGAGGCGGUCACGCCGUAAAACAACUCUCCUCCUGGAAGUUGACCUCGGAUCAGGUAGCGAUACCCGCUGAACUUAA
rnacentral:misc_RNA from 1 species